rnacentral:ncRNA from 2 species
ACACAGCGCUCUGGAGAGGGCCGGCCAUCCGCAUCGCGGUGCGCCCGGACGCCGAAGGUGCAAACCCGCGCAGCGGGGCAACUCUCAGGCAAAAGGACAGAGGGGCGGAA